AUUCAGCUGCUGCGAUGUCCGUCUCAGUUUCCACACUGUGUCAAGACCUUAUUACAAAUUGUUGAAAAGAAAGGACUUGUAGUCAUCUGGGUCUGAAUAAAAGAGACAUUAACCCCAGAGAUUGAGUAACGGGUUCAUCCUGACCUCCGACCUCUCCACGGUUGCCUCUCCUUGACUGACACCGUCUUUGUGUUCACUUAAAUUCGCCGCUGACUUGUGUCCGCUCUGUCUCCCAGCUCACCGGUUUCCAUUGGAGGAUGAUGGAACGGCUGUGGCUGUCUCUGCUGUUGCUGGCAGCGGCGUGUAAGGGACAACCGUGUCCGAAACGCUGCAUGUGCCAGAGCCUCUCUCCGUCACUCGCCAUCCUCUGCUCCAAGACGGGGCUUCUGUUUGUCCCUGCAGCCAUUGACAGGCGCACGGUGGAGCUACGGCUUCAGGAGAACUUCAUCACAGCCGUGAGGAGAAAGGACUUUGCCAACAUGACCAGCCUUCUUCAUUUAACGUUGUCCAGAAACACCAUCAGUCAGAUACUGCCUUCAGCUUUCAGUGACCUGAGACGACUCAGAGCUCUGCACCUGGACUCCAAUCGAUUGACUGUGAUAAAGGAUGACCAUUUCAAAGGCCUGACCAACCUUCGCCACCUGAUACUGGCUAACAACCAGCUCCACAACAUUUCUCCUAAUGCCUUCGAUGACUUUCUGUCAACGCUGGAGGACCUGGACCUCAGUUACAACAACCUCGCUCAGGUUCCCUGGGACACGAUUGGCCGCCUCACUAACGUCAACACCUUAAAUAUGGACCAUAACCUCAUAGAAAACGUUCCCCAAGGAGUGUUCACCAACCUCCACAAAUUGGCAAGGUUAGAUAUGACAUCCAACAAACUGAAGAAAAUCCCCCCUGAUCCGUUAUUUCUGAGAAUUCCAGUUUACGCCAAGUCUAAAGGCUCUCCUCUGUCAUCGCUGGUGCUGAGCUUCGGUGGGAACCCUCUCCACUGUAACUGUGAGCUUCUGUGGUUGAGGAGGCUCACAAGAGAAGAUGACCUGGAGACCUGCGCCUCGCCCCCUGACCUCAGUGCCAAAUACUUCUGGACGAUACCUGAAGAGGAGUUUAUCUGUGACCCACCAGUUCUGACCCGGAAGUCGCCUCACACUGUGGCAAUGGAAGGUCAACCAGCCAGCCUGAAAUGUAAAGCUAACGGAGAUCCAGAGCCUGAAGUUCACUGGAUCAGCCCCGAGGGGCGCCUUAUAUCCAACGGCACCAGGACUUUAGUUUUCCCUAAUGGGAGCCUGGAGAUCAAUGUGACAUCACUUAAGGAUUCAGGAAACUUCACUUGCAUCGCCUCCAACGCAGCUGGCGAAUCCACAGGGAGGGUGGAGCUGGUUGUCACGGCAAUGCCCCAUCUCGCAAAUAGCACGAGUCGCAGCAGAGAUCCAUCCUCGGAACCUGCUCCGUCUGAUAUUCUAACGUCCUCUAAAGCCGCGCUGCCCAACAACGAGACAAGAGGGGCCGGGGAGCGAAAAGUCUCGUUGGUGGAACUGACGGGAGACUCUGCCCUCAUUAGAUGGAGCAGUCAGACACCAAUAACAGGAGUCAGGAUGUUCCAGAUCCAGUACAACAGCUCUGGGGAUGACGCACUGGUUUACAGGAUGAUCCCAUCCACCAGCAAUGACUUCCUGGUUCGGGACCUCGCAGCUGGACGUAGUUACGAUCUCUGUGUCCUGGCCGUGUUUGAUGAUGUCGUCACAUCCCUGACUGCAACGCGUCCCCUGGGCUGCCUGUCGUUCACCACGGACGCAGAGUUCAGCCAGUGCCAAGCACUGCACAGCCACUUCCUGGGAGGAACUAUGAUUAUCAUCAUCGGGGGGAUUAUAGUCGCUUCUGUGCUGGUUUUCAUCAUCAUCCUAAUGAUACGGUACAAGGUGUACAGCCACCACGGAGCAGGCCACGGGAAAGCUGCCAUUGCAGCGGGUGUGCCGAGACCACAGAGUAACGGACAGGGCGGCAGCGCACAAGUCCAAGUCCUCCCUCGGUCAGCUUCGAAACUGAGUCAGGAGGAGUCUGGAGCGAUGGCAUCUUCUCGAGCCAUGUCGCCUAGCAACACUAUGAGAGACACUGUGGCCCUGGUCGAGGAGGAGGGCAGUGGACGUAGCAAAACCAAAAGAACUGACCCUCUGGCCAGUGAGGAGAUGCUCUCGCCCACAAAAGUUUGUUUCUCCUCCAGGGUCGCCAUUGAGAUGAAGAGCAGGCCGCCAUCUGUCACCAAAGAGCCCACGUCCCCCAAGGAACUGGCAGAGCCCUGAUGACGUUGUUCUGGGAGAUGGCAGAUGUGGAGUAUGGACGUCAUCACCGUUGAAAGCUGGUGAAGAACAAAAAAAAAUAAAAAUAAAAAAUAAUAAUAAAAACGCUCCAUUAGCUCCUCUGUCCUCUACCCCCAUUAACUGUGACCAUUACUUGGUGUCCAUAUAUAUCACAGGGCGGUAGAAACUGUACUGACUGAUUUAUUUUACGCCGCUCCUGCUUUUUACGUCUCUCCUGAAUGACGGACUGUGUCAAGACCCCGUUGUCAGUUGGCAGCCGAUUUGCCAGUUGCUGCAGAAAUGAGGCUGGCAGCCCGAUCACCUGCAUCACUUACUGACUCACAGAGAGGUGCUCAUAAAUGUUGCAUUUACCACUCUGCGUUUUAUGGAUACGCCCGGGAAAAUGCAUACAGUGUGCGUAGAUAACAUUAAAGGGUGAAUGAGUUAAGCCCUGUCCCUUGAAUGGAAAUAAAAUGUCCAGUCGGAGCCUCGGCGUGUUUGGACCCAGGCGAGUGGGUGGCAGAAUAACAGUGUGUGAAAAACAUUGGAUGCACUGAUAAUCACGCACAUGGAUUCUCUGAAUAUACUAUGUUACACUGCACAAGCAGAAAUGGAAUAAAUUCAUAACAACAAAAAAAAAAAAAAGAAAGUAUGUGAAUGAGUGAUGAUUUUGGAUAUAAACCUCUUAAGUAACAGCUUAUCUCAUGUGUUGGCCCGUUUGUGGAUUUCUUUUUGCCGAGUUGAUCACGUCACUGAGCCAAACCGGAGCUGCAUCUGGACCUUAACUGGACACUUGACAGAUCUCACAAGCCUUUGGGAAACACAUGCACUAAGGAACAGGAUUGGCUUGAAAGGCCAGAACUGAAAAGCCUGGAUUUGGUGGAGCCGGAUGUGAUGUUCUUGACUGUGGAGUAGUGUGAAGCACACGUGUGUGGACUAGAAAAGAGAACAACCUGAACCCUGUUUUCACCCAGAGCCCUUUUCCCCUGCGGUCCCACACCUACUGGUUUCCAUUGAGGCUGACAAGGAAGAAUCUGGAGGACCUUUUCCAGCCUCUUAGACCAGUUAUUGGGCCGAAAACAUCUCGUCUGAAGUCAACUGAAAAGAACAGAACUGACAGGAAGAUGACAAUGGAAAAGUGAACUCCCAGAAAACCAAACCAUAGCAGUGAUCGCUGACAUCGUACAACUUUGUUUUGAGAAAAGCACAUGAAACAUCCGCCCCCUUUUUUUUUAAAAUCAACACCAAAUAAUUUUACCGUGUUCUACAUUCAAAAUCUCUAUACUGUAUUGUGAGGAACAAAUGCUGUAUGGUGACGAAAGGCUGCACUACUUGCAUCGCUGAGAUUAUUGCUGUCUCUGUAUGACAUCUGCACAUUUUUUUGUUAUCACAAAUGAGUUUGUUUUGCUGGUCAAAGUGUGUUCAAGAUGGGGACAUGUAAUAUAUUUUUGCACAGUAACUUAAAGGGGACCUAUUAUGCUAUCUUUUCCCUCGGGCACCUCAUUUACUUUAGCUCAUCAAAACUGCAGCUCAGAGUCAUCUGCCCCGAGUAACGCUCGCUCUGCAUAAACAGUUUUAUUAGAAUAGUACCACGGGCAUUUAGCGUAUCCCGCUAUACAAAUAACCACAGGUGCUGUUUAUUUUUCCUUUUUUGUUGACUUCAUAAUAACAUUUUAUAAACAGAGUUAAUGUUUGUAUAUCCUGACAGCAGCUUUUUUUUUUCUCCUUUAGUCAGCAAAUAAGCAUAUUUCCUAGACAAACACUUAUUAGGAGGAAAACUUGCCUUUUAUAAAAAUUGACUCCAAAACAAAAAAAGCUGAAGAAAGAUACUUUGAAUCAUGGGGAGAUAUCAAGACGUUGUCAACUGAGUUUACACACGGAGGAUCAGGCUUCUCAUCUCCCACCUUGGUGUAUUUCCUAGUUUUUAGAUCCUUUAUCACCCGUUAACAUUGCAGCCCUGCAGACGAGUGCUUUUUUCUCCUAACGUCUAGAUAAAUAGGAGCAGGGAAGAAUUCAUGGAAAUCUGGGAGUGGAUGGUGUUCCUCUGUCAUUACUGCUGUUAUUAAAUGGCAGAUCCUUUAAGUCCUUCAAAGGAAAGAUAUGGUGUAAUGGUAGUGUUGCAUGAAUCAAAGCAACUGCAUCGAUGACCUGAAGCACUAAAGUAACAGCUUCACAGUGUAAUAUUGUAAAGGUAGACUUUUUAUUUUUCUCAUACAGUAUGGUAUACGAUUUGACUAACGCUGUUUUUAGUGUAUGCUGACCUUAGCAAUUGCACCAGUAAAAGCAUCAAAGAUAGCCACCGGGUUGUAACAGUAUGUUUUUACAUUUUGUUAAGCUGUUUUGUUUAGCAUAACUAAAGCAUUUGUCCAACUGUAUAAGCCUAGCCAAGGAACAGGUGAGGAUUGUUGACCAACUCCGAUACUCACAAUCGAUAUUGGUCACAUUUUCAGGAAAUUACAUUGAAGAAAAAAAUCAACUAUAGUCCGACCGAUCCAAUACUAAGAUCAACCUAACUUUACGUGACGUGUGGUGAACAGGGACACUAUCGCCAAGGAAACAGCAGCUGGAAGAGAUAGGCGGUCGAUAUUGGUAUGGCCAGACACUCCAAGUUGUGGUAUCGAUAUCGGACAUGAAAGUCGAUCGAGCCAUCCCAAGUAAUUAUGCAGACCUCUAAAGACAUUAUUUAACAGUGAGAGAAAAAAAAUCUUUGAAGGUAACGUGAUAGGUCCCCUUCAGUGCUGUUACUAAAGAGUUGCAUCUUCAUGGAAUCUUGGAUUUGUUGGUUAACGGGUGUUACUACAGAUGCGUAAGGUCUGCAUGUGUUAACUGUUUCCCCCCAUAACAGCUGAAAUAGUAGAUCAAAUUGAAAAAUACAACCAAUUUUGUUUGGAAAAAGUUUCUAU